UCGGGAAUUUUGCGCAAUGGACGAAAGUCUGACGCAGCAACGCCGCGUGAGGGAUGACGGCCUUCGGGUUGUAAACCUCUUUUGUCAGGGACGAUGAUGACGGUACCUGACGAAUAAGCCACGGCUAACUACGUGCCAGCAGCCGCGGUAAUACGUAGGUGGCAAGCGUUGUCCGGAUUUACUGGGCGUAAAGAGCGCGCAGGCGGUCGUUCAAGUCACGUGUGAAAGCCCCCGGCUCAACUGGGGAGGGUCACGUGAUACUGAUCGACUCGAAGGCAGGAGAGGGUAGUGGAAUUCCCGGUGUAGUGGUGAAAUGCGUAGAUAUCGGGAGGAACACCAGUGGCGAAGGCGACUACCUGGCCUGUUCUUGACGCUGAGGCGCGAAAGCUAGGGGAGCGAAAACGGGAUUAGAUACCCUGGUAGUCCACGCCGUAAACGUUGGGCACGUAGGUGUGGGACUCUAUCGACGGGUUCCGUGCCGUAGCUAACGCAUUAAGU
rnacentral:rRNA from 1 species